GGUGAAAGCUUUACAUCUCUUCGGUAGCAUUUUACGAGGUGCUGCAUGGUUGUCGUCAGCUCGUGCCGUGAGGUGUCGGGUUAAGUCCCAUAACGAGCGCAACCCUACCUUUAGUUGCCAUCAGGUAAUGCUGGGGACGUCUAAAGGAACUGCCUACGCAAGUAGUGAGGAAGGCGGGGAUGACGUCAAAUCAGCACGGCCCUUACGUCCAGGGCUACACACGUGCUACAAUGGCCGAUACAGAGGGCAGCUACCUGGUGACAGGAUGCAAAUCUCCAAAGUCGGUCUCAGUUCGGAUCGGAGUCUGCAACCCGACUCCGUGAAGUUGGAUUCGCUAGUAAUCGCGCAUCAGCCAUGGCGCGGUGAAUACGUUCCCGGGCCUU
rnacentral:rRNA from 1 species